rnacentral:rRNA from 1 species
UACGAGGGGGGCAAGCGUUGUUCGGAAUUAUUGGGCGUAAAGGGCGCGUAGGCGGUUUGACAAGUCUGAUGUGAAAUCUAUGGGCUCAACCCAUAGCCUGCAUUAGAAACUGUCGGGCUUGAGUAUGGGAGAGGUGAGUGGAAUUCCCAGUGUAGCGGUGAAAUGCGUAGAUAUUGGGAGGAACACCAGUGGCGAAGGCGGCUCACUGGACCGGUACUGACGCUGAGGCGCGAAAGCGUGGGGAGCAAACGGG